GGGAAGUGUGGGCAUCUCUUGUGUUAAACUGCUGACUUCAUGACCUGGAAGAGCUGGAAAAGAGAUUGACAAGGAAACUGCAUCAGUGAGCUGCUGCAGCGCCUCAAGCAGUCACUGUAGCACCUCACUGGGACUCCAGGCUUAUUCGUGGAUCGCAGAGUUUCUAAAAGUAGAAUGAGAGGCAGAUCCUUCAGCUUUCAGGCCCAUCUUUUGGAUGCAGGAGACAGACACCCUUUCAACUUUGAAGAACGGUUUUCAAACUUUCCUCCUCACCAUCACCAUUGCUACUCACAGCGGAUUAUUCGAUUGUUGGGGUUCUCAUGGUGCACUUGGAUCAAAGCACAGGGAGCUGGCCACUGCUUCUGAUUUAUACGCUGGGUUAAAUGCUGAGAAGGAGUUUCCCUCCAAGGAUCAAUAAAGAUAUCCUUGUUCAUUUUCCACAUGUCAACAAGGCUUCUGUUCAC
ensembl:lncRNA